GCUCAGGAUGAACGCUAGCUACAGGCUUAACACAUGCAAGUCGAGGGGUAGCAGGGUAGCAAUACCGCUGACGACCGGCGCACGGGUGAGUAACACGUAUCCAACCUUCCCAUAACUCGGGGAUAGCCUUUCGAAAGAAAGAUUAAUACCCGAUAGUACUUUUUUAGGGCAUCUUAGAAAAGUUAAAGAUUUAUUGGUUAUGGAUGGGGAUGCGUUCCAUUAGAUAGUUGGUGAGGUAACGGCUCACCAAGUCUUCGAUGGAUAGGGGUUCUGAGAGGAAGGUCCCCCACAUUGGUACUGAGACACGGACCAAACUCCUACGGGAGGCAGCAGUGAGGAAUAUUGGUCAAUGGGCGAGAGCCUGAACCAGCCAA
rnacentral:rRNA from 1 species